rnacentral:rRNA from 1 species
GUUGACCUCGAAUCAGGUAGGAAUA